UGUGGGCAUUGCUGAAAAUAGUAACUUGGAUGCAAGUGAAACAGGAACGCACUUGGACUGAAUGGGCUGUUCCAAGAGGAAGUGCAUGUAUGUGUGCAUACUGUGAUCACUGUGCCAAACUUUCACAUCUGUUAACAGUCUGAAUAUACUCUGUUGAAACACCAGGAGACAAAAUAUGCAGUACAGAACCUGUAAUUAUGUCAGUUUCCUGAUUCCAUUGUAUCCCAACAAAUUAUUGUAUGCAUGUCUGCUAACAGCACUUCUUAUGCUAGAAGGGUGUUUUCAUCAUACAGAAAGCACCUUUUUGUGGAGGUACUGCUGCUUAUUAGAAAUGUGCUAUUAUUUACAUCAACUGGAAAUGGCUGAUAAACAAAGAACAUUUAGUGCUACAUAAUCAAUUGUCAAUUUUUAAGUGAAUUGUACAGAAAUUGUAAAGAUUAUUGUUGAAGAAAACAAAUUUGUGUUUAGUGUAUGUGGCAGAUUUAACCUAGACUAUAAAAUUGUUAACUUCUAAAAAUGAUUUUUUUGGUUUCUAAAUAUGAGAAAUUCUAAUGUCCUUCCUGUUGUUAAGAGUUUGUCUGUUUUUUGACUUGUCUGAACUGCAAGACCUACUACAUGCACAAUUAUUCACAAUAUCUGGGUAUGUAAAAUUAACACACAAUCAUAGAUGCUAUCUCUGGUUAAAUGGUUUGCUUGAAAUACAAUAUACACAUAGUGUGUGGUUUAAAUGGUUUAAAAUGGAAGAAAAGCUUACCUUUUCACAAAUCUGCUAUGUUACCUAUUUAACAUGAACAACUGAUACAGUCUGUAAUUUGUCAUUUUGGUAUGAUGUGUAUACUUUGGCCCAAAGAAAUAUACUGCCAAAGAAGUUGAUGCUAUGCAAGAACAAAAAAAGUAUGUUAUUUUCAACAAGUAAGGAAAAUACUGGAAUUGCGUGUAUAGAAGAGAUCAAUUUAAACUUCUUGUAAGGACCACUUAAAUGAAUUUAUAGUUUUGUUUGUUGGAUUAAUUGUUAAGAAUAAUUAUUAAAAUGAAGCUUAUUGUAAUUUAAUGUUUGUACAUUAUAAUUGUAGAAUGUUUGUAUAAUUGAUUAUUCAAUGAGUUACUUUUUAUACUCUUCCAUACUCUGAUACAAAUUGGUAAUAAAAAAUUUGGUACUAUCA